rnacentral:rRNA from 1 species
AAUACGGAGGGUCCAAGCGUUAUCCGGAAUCAUUGGGUUUAAAGGGUGCGCAGGCGGUAAAGUAAGUCAGUGGUGAAAUCCCUUCGCUCAACGAAGGAACUGCCAUUGAUACUGCUAUACUUGAAUAUAGUUGAAGUAGGCGGAAUGUGUAGUGUAGCGGUGAAAUGCUUAGAUAUUACACAGAACACCGAUAGCGAAGGCAGCUUACUAAACUAAUAUUGACGCUCAUGCACGAAAGCGUGGGGAGCGAACGGG